AUUGAACGCUGGCGGCAGGCUUAACACAUGCAAGUCGAGCGGAGUGAUGGUGCUUGCACUAUCACUUAGCGGCGGACGGGUGAGUAAUGCUUAGGAAUCUGCCACUUAGUGGGGGACAACAUUCCGAACUGAAUGCUAAUACCGCAUACGUCCUACGGGAGAACGCAGGGGAACUUCGGACCUUGCGCUAAAUGAUGAGCCUCGGUCGGAUUAGCUAGUCGGUGGGGUAAAGGCCUAACAAGGCGACGAUCUGUAGCGGGUCUGAGAGGAUGAUCCGCCACACUGGGACUGAGACACGGCCCAGACUCCUACGGGAGGCAGCAGUGGGGAAUAUUGGACAAUGGGCGGAAGCCUGAUCCAGCCAUGACGCGUGUGUGAAGAAGGCCUUUUGGUUGUAAAGCACUUUAAGCGAGGAGGAGGCUACUAGUACUAAUACUACUGGAUAGUGGACGUUACUCGCAGAAUAAGCACCGGCUAACUCUGUGCCAGCCGCCGCCGUAACAC
rnacentral:rRNA from 1 species